rnacentral:rRNA from 1 species
GACGAACGCUGGCGGCGUGCUUAGCACAUGCAAGUCGAACGGAAAGGCCCUGCUUUUGUGGGGUGCUCGAGUGGCGAACGGGUGAGUAACACGUGAGUAACCUGCCCUUGACUUUGGGAUAACUUCAGGAAACUGGGGCUAAUACCGGAUAGGAGCUCCUGCUGCAUUGUGGGGGUUGGAAAGUUUCGGCGGUUGGGGAUGGACUAGCGGCUUAUCAGCUUGUUGGUGGGGUAGUGGCUUACCAAGGCUUUGACGGGUAGCCGGCCUGAGAGGGUGACCGGCCACAUUGGGACUGAGAUACGGCCCAGACUCCUACGGGAGGCAGCAGUGGGGAAUAUUGCACAAUGGGCGGAAGCCUGAUGCAGCAACGCCGCGUGCUGGAUGACGGCCUUCGGGUUGUAAACCGCUUUCGCCUGUGACGAAGCGUGAGUGACGGGAAUGGGUAAAGAAGCACCGGCUAACUACGUG